rnacentral:rRNA from 1 species
UACGUGGGUGGCAAGCGUUAUCCGGAUUUAUUGGGCGUAAAGAGAACGCAGGCGGUCUUUUAAGUCUGAUGUGAAAGCCUUCGGCUUAACCGGAGUAGUGCAUUGGAAACUGGGAGACUUGAGUGCAGAAGAGGAGAGUGGAACUCCAUGUGUAGCGGUGAAAUGCGUAGAUAUAUGGAAGAACACCAGUGGCGAAAGCGGCUCUCUGGUCUGUAACUGACGCUGAGGUUCGAAAGCGUGGGUAGCAAACAGG